UUAAACUGAAGUUGACAUCUUUUUUUCUUCAGAUUGAUGCUGCAAAGCCUGUUGGAGAAGUAUUUGAAGCAGUUAAAGCUGUUUUUGCCCCAGCUGUUGAGAAGGUUGCUGCCUAGGAAAAUAUUGGUAGAGCGGCAUCAUGAUUAAGUGUUACUGGUAUACCAGUAUUGUUUGCAUUUUGGUGCUUGCUAUGCGUCUUCAGCAAGGCGAUGUAUCUUUAUAGAUUCUACUUUUAUAGAAGUUUAUGGCAAAAAUUCCUUUUUCUUUCUUCCUAUUUUUUGUUCUUAUGAAGGGAACAAAUGCUGUAUUAUUGGCAUAUUGCCUUUGUAUUAUCAUUGUCGAGACUGAAUUUUUAUAAAUAAGAUUAUGAGUUUCUCUCUC